CACCCCUACCAGAGAACGCCGCCGAGGAAGACCAUAGGGGUACUUCCUCUGAAGAAAUUCGCCCCACCAGCCCUUCAGCAUCCAUCCCUGCACAGCCGUCAGAGAGUCCCUUGGUUCAACAAGAGGAAGCAGCAGACGACCUACAGCUGCCGGUCGUACAUUGCGACCCUCCCACCGUGCAAACGCCGCAGGUUUUGGACAGCGUUGAUCUUCAAGCGGCCGCCCUACCUGACGACCCUGCCCCCUUGCCACAGGAUACGCCGGUCACCCCUCCUUCUGCUUCACAGCAGCCAGUUGACGAUCUCCAGCAGAGCCCACACCGAAAAUCCCUCACUCCCUUUCAGGAAGAGUGGGAUGGAAAGUGGGCAGCUGCACCCGACAGGGAAACACUCUUCUCCUUGAUCGAGAGUUUCGUCAAAGGAGUUAAAAACGAGACUGGAAAACCCGACACAAGGACGAGACGCAGAGCGCCACCACCGCAAAAACCUCGGACUACCAGACCAUCGGCACCCAGCUUUGAUGCUGAGAAGGCGGCGAAGCUGCAGAGGUCCUACAACAUAAACAAAAAGCGUACUAUGCAGGAGAUAUUGGGCCAACGCUCCCCAGGCUGCACCAUCCCCAUCCAGAUGAUCGAAGAACACUUCGAGAAACGCAUGGUUGGGGACAACACCGAGUUCAGCCCCGACCCAGAUCUCCUCAAGGACUUCUCCCCCCAGGACGGAGCCCAGUUGGAGGAACCCAUCUCUUCCAACGCAGUGUGGUACCGCCUUCUCAAGAUGGGAAACACCGCUCCUGGUCCCGACGGCAUCAGCUACCAGGAACUGAAACGGGUGGACCCCAAUUCCACCAUCCUCACCCAGAUCUUCCAGGCCUGCUUCCAGAUGAGGGCGGUACCCCCUUCAUGGAAGGAAAGCUCCUCUAUCUUGCUCCACAAGAAAGGGGACGCCGACGACCUAGGGAACUGGAGGCCUAUCGCGCUGGGCAACACGAUCGCAAAGCUUUACACCGCGGUCCUGGCGGAUAGGCUCAGGAGAUGGGCAGCGACGACGGGACAGCUCUCCAAGGCGCAGAAGGGCUUCAUGGAGUUCGAGGGGUGCCUGGAACAUAAUUUCGUGGUCCAGAGUGCCAUCGAGGAGACCAAGAGAACCAGCAGACAAGCUUGCUUCACCUGGCUGGAUCUUGAAAAUGCAUUUGGCUCGGUGCCUCACGAACACAUCUUCAAUGUGUUAAAUGCAUUUGGCGUCCCUGAAAAGGUAAUCGCGGUAUUCAGGGACCUAUACACGGACUCCUCCACCUCAAUCAGGACCCCGCUGGGAACCACAUCGCCCAUCCCCUUCAAACGCGGGGUGAAGCAAUGCUGCCCUGGAAGCCCAACCCUCUUCAACGUGGCCAUAGAGGUCAUAGUCCGCACCCUCGCCUCGAAGGCAAAAGACCAUGGUGUCCGCUUACUCGAGCACUAUGUGUUGGUGCUGGCCUAUGCUGACGACCUCCUCAUCAUGGCAAAAGACAAGGAGUCUCUACAAGUGCUCCUAGACACCACCGGCGAUCUGGCGGGAAAGAUCGGACUCCACUUCAAGGGCCCCAAAUGCGCGACUCUUCACUUGGUCUGCAGGAAAAAGAGGACUACUCUGCCCACAACCUUCUGCAUCCAAGAACAGUCAAUCUCAGCGAUGAGAGAAGACGACGCAUACUGCCACCUUGGAGUACCCACCGGAUUCAACAAGACAAGGAACCCCGAGGAAGCCAUCAAGGGAAUCAAGGAGGAUACGGAAAAAAUUCACAGCAGCCUCCUCGCUCCCUGGCAGAAGAUCGACGCCACCAAGACCUACAUCUACCCAAGGCUCGACUUCAUUCUACGAGGGUCCCCGAUCCACAAGACCGCCUUCAGGGAAGUGGACCUACUGAUUAAGAGACUAGGGAAGAAAUGGCUCGGCCUGCCCCAGCGGGCCAGCAACGAGGUGCUCUACAUCCCUCCUUCCAAAGGCGGAGCAGGAAUGGUGCCGUUUGGUGACAGGACCGACUUGGCCAAGAUCCAACACGCCUUCCGGCUCCUCACGAGCCCAGACUCCGAAACCUCCGCACUCGCCAAAAGCCUUCUCAAAAGAGUCGCGGGGAGGAAACUGGGACGGCCUGCACUGGAAGAAGACCUGGCAGCGUAUCUAUCGGGGAAACUCGACGGUGAUUUCGCCAGGGAUGGUGGAGACAUCACGUCACUCUGGAGCGAUGCCAGAAACGCUUCCCGACGCCUCUCAAAAAGGAUCGGCGUUCAGUGGGUCCACAACCCAACGUUGGGAGACAUUACCAUCAAACUCCCCAACGCCGGCAGGACACCGAAAGAAAUCAGCCUUCCCGCGGUCGCUAGGGGCCAAAUCAUGGCAAGACUUCGGCAGGCCCUCCAAGACUCCUACCUGAAAACCCUAAUCAAAAAGCCUGAUCAGGGAAAGGUCUACGAGGUCACCUGUCGGAACAAGUCUUCCAAUGGCUUCAUCAACAGUGGGAGAUAUAUGCGUUUCGCCGACUGGAGGUUUAUCCACCGUUCCCGGCUUAACGUACUUCCGCUGAACGGAGCCAAAAGAUUUGGCCCUGAGGACAAGCGUUGCAGGGUUUGCGGCCAGGUGGACGAAACACUACCUCAUGUGCUUCAACACUGCCGUAAACACUCCGCUGCGGUCACCAAAAGGCACCACAACAUCGUCGAGCGGCUGAAAAAGGCUACGAGGUUGCAGGGAAGAACGAGAAUAAAUCAAAGGGUCCCUGAGGUUUCUUCUAACCUUCGUCCGGAUAUAGUGGUGACAGAAGAGGAGAAGAAGAAGAUCACCAUUAUAGACGUGGCGAUACCCUUCGAGAACCGCCUCGUGGCCUUCAAAGAUGCAAGGGAGAGAAAAAUUUCGAAAUACACUCCCCUUGCAAACGAACUUCGCGAGAAAGGGUGGGAAGUAUUCCUGGACGCCUUUCUAGUUGGCCCGCUCGGUGGCUGGGACAACGAGAAUGAAAAGGUCCUCCGGGCACUUGAUAUCUUCCACGAUAUUCCACAGUAAUGCGGAAUAUAAUGUGUGCAGAAACCAUCAAGUGGUCUAGGGAUAUCUACGUGGAGCAUAUAACCGGUCAGAAACAAUACUAACCGGUUUAUGCUCUACCCUAUAUAUGUACUCACCCUGUGUUUUUCAGGUCCAGAAGCGACAUCCCUGUGGUCCAGACCGGUUCCAGCGGACUCCUCUUCUUUCCCAAGGCCUUUUGGAGGCUAUGAGCCCCACCUACAACCGGGUCGUGGCGGUAUAACCACUCCGGGUUUGGCGGAAAUGCCUGCCCACACCGAGUCGUGGCGGUAUAACCACUCAGGGUCUGGAGGAAAUGCCAACUCGAAGAAAGAAGAGGAGGAUCUUCCCGCAAAAAGACCUUCCGCCCGGAUCCGGAGGACCAGUAGAAGACGCCCUUGUAUAUUUAAUAUUUUUUCAUUCAUUUUUUAUAAUUUUAACUUGUAUAUUUUCUUAAAAUUGUUUUUUAAUAUCUGCUAUGUUGAACAUGUAAUUUUUUGAAUUUGUUCAAUAAAAUGUUUUAAAUCUGUUCUUAUCAGCUUAAUUUGAAGCUUCCUCGAAGAACUGAAGCCUGCACCUCGACGCCCACGAGAAUCUCCAGGAACCCCACACACACUGUAAGUCGUUUUUUUUUUAAAUAUAUAUAUACCGGCCCUCUUUCUAGCAUUUGCAUUUUUUUUUCUUUAAUUUUUUUUACUACUUAGCUUACCUUAGUGCUGUCACUCUGGUUAGCAUAUUCCAUGUCUUUUGCAUAUUUGUGUUUAUAUAAGUUGUGUUAAACAACUUUUAUAAACAUAUAUCUGCAUUUUUUAUUUAUUUAUUUAUCUAUUUUUUUUCUUUGCACUCUUGUUUAUUUGCAUAUAUAUAUAUUAAUAUAUAUAUGUGAUAUCUUGGGACCUCUGGGACCAGUGUUACCUGAUGCUAGACGAACCUCGAUGUCAACUCUACCGUGCAGUCGUGGUGGAAGGCGACACAGCUGGGCCAAAGGUGAAAUAAACAAACAGAGAUUCCACUAAAAAGCGUCUGACGUCAAGAAGGAAUGGGAUGAGCGGAGAGGGAGAUCUUUAGAGCAAGUGUUACCUUGGUGAGAUCCAAGCGCAUACUGCCUAACCUAGGUUCUCGAUUUAACACCAAGACCUUUCUUCUUUCUGAUUGGUUGACCUAUUUAGGUGAUUCUUUCCUAAUUGGUGGGACUAUGUCACGUGGCCGUUGGCUAUUGGUUGACCUACUUAGGUGAUUCUCUUCUAAUUGGUCUUUGCUGCUGCCUUUGACGGAAGAUAUAUCCGGCCUGGUCAGGAAGUAUUGGGUGUCUCUCAACUUUUAUAACUUCUGCGUUCACCAGAUACGUCCGGUCCUGUCAGGAAAUAUUGGCUUAAACUUAGCUCGCAGGGUUUCCGGGGUCAGAAGGUUAACUGUGACUUUAUUAAUAACUAUGUUCUCUUCUAGAUCUACUUCCUAGGUCUUACUUCUACUCUCACCUAAGCCUGAUUAGUUUUAACCUUAAUUUUCUCCUGUUAGUCUCCAUUCCUUCUAUCUGUACAGUUGUUAUACUUUAUUAGAUUCUUACGCGGUACAGAUUGAUGUUAGUUGAGGCUUUCUAUGUGCAGUACAUAAGAAGUUAUAUACAGUCAUGGGGUGGAACAUGUGGUAGUAGAUAUCUAGACUAUUUACAACAAUUCCAUGGUCUUAAAUCAUCACAGAUGGCCCCGGAUUUGAGAGGGUUCAUAUGGAGGGAUUUAAGAGAGCGGAAUAGGAAGACUGUUAUUAAGGAAGUAAUUUUUUAAAAAUUAAUUGAAAUGAGUUGGUAUAUAACAUGGGGUUGAUUUCUGUAUAUCCAUAAGAGAUAAUAAAGCAUAAACAACUAAUACUAAACAUACAAGUAAAAAUAAAAAUAUGAAUAAAAUAUUUAAUAGAGAACAUAUAAUGAUUAUAGGUGAAAAUAAAAACGAUUGGAUGGGAAAAUCAUGAUCUCUUCGUGAUGGGCGUUAGAAAGGGUUGAGGGGUUAGUUAUUACUUGGUUGAGGCAAUGUCACUUUGACUCAAGUCCCAAACCAUUUAAUGUGCACGGCGCGGAAAACCUAGGCCAUGUUUCACAUGUAAAUUUAAGGACCGAAUAAAGUUACAGUACCACAAUCGAAAAGUAAGAUAAGGGUGAUUGCUAUGGGUUUUAGUAAUUAGUCGUUAAGACGUACGCAUGCAGGAUAAAUGAGGGCGAAGAUCUGUGACCAGAAAUCAAAGUUUUAAUUGGAGUCGUCAGGGGCUUAGCGAGAAAAAGAGUAAAAUAAAAAAAAAUGUGCCAGCGUGUGGCAUGAGAGUGCCCUGGAAUAUAUUUAAAAAAAAAUACAAUUUGCACGUAUCCAAGCCAGAAGUAGGGAUAGGUAAGUCUGGGGGACGGUGUGUCAAAAUUGUUAAUUACGAAAUCAAAGUAGGUCAAGUCUAGCCUGCGAAGGAGUUAAAAGUUCCUGCGGAAAAGGGUUAGUAUUUAUUAAGAAGUAACCUUUAAAGUGGUUGUUUAAGAGGUUAUUGAAGAUUGCCCUGUUUUUAGAUCAUGAUUUUUAGUUUGAUGAUAAAAUAAUAUAUCAUUGAGAUAUGAAAUUGCGAAAUUACGGCUUUGCAUAUAGCGUUAAAGGAUUUAAAAAAUCGAAAAUAGAAUUGCGAAGUUAAAUGCAAAGUAAUCUUUAAAAAAAAAGUAAAAAUAGUGAUGAUAUGAUACAAAGAUUAACACACUACAGCAGUAUAUAAGGGGUAAUAGAAAGUGAAAAUAUUAAAUGAAAAAAAAAAUAAGCAGUAAUAUACUCGAUAGCAUUGAACAUGGUAGCGGAAGAUGAAACAAUGUAAAUAACAUAUAAUUUAUAAAGUGAGAGAAAAUAUAAAAUGACAAAUGCAAAUUAGUGAUAUAAACAUGAAAUAUAAACUUGAGAUUAUUAGAUAUGAAAGAUAAAAUAUAAAGUUGAUUAUAGAAUAGAGUCAUAAAGCAAAAGUAAAUAAGUUUUGGUAAAGAAAAAUACAAUAAAAUGACAAUAAUCUAAACUGAUUGGUUGACGUAAAUAAAAAAAAACAAUUAUAAAAGCUAGAUAAUGAUUAUAUAAAGAAUAUUAAAAUGAGAAUUUAAAAAAAAAUGUUCAUCGAGAAAGAAGAGCAAGUAAGAUUAUACAUAGAAAUUAUAUAUCGUGAAAGAAUGGAAAGUUGUAGGCCAAAUAAAUGUAUGUUCCUGUUUUUUAGGAUGGGUGGAGAGAGCUUUAAAUUGUCCUCGAUUGAUAUCUUUGGUCUUGUUGGCCUAAGUUUUUCUAACUUAUCGAAUUUGUUUUAUGUUUGGCGUGACUCGUGGAUCACAUUGAUUCCAACUGUGAAACUCACUGAGUCCUAAUGUUGUCGAUUUUUUGUUCCCUGCGCCACGUUUAGGUGAAAACGUGAUUCUUCCUAAAGCGGCAUUUAUUCUGUUAGUGGACUGAUUUGUUAGUAAAUGUAAACUAACGUGUUAAGCAAGUUAUUAGUAGCUAAACGGGAUAUUGGAGUAGAAUAAUGGGUUAGGGAUUAGAACGAUAUAUAGUAAAAGGUACGCACUAAUAUUUAAUUUAAUAGGUAGCGAAAAAUCCAUUAGAGUGACAUCGGGGUGGCGACGGGCCAUAACAAGAUGUCGGCUGUUUGUUUGCUCGGGGGGCGAGGGGGAGCGAAGCUAUUUUUAAUGCGAUUCUGGAUGUAGGUCAGGGGGGCUCCUUGCGGGGCUGCUUGCUUCUUCCAACUUAUUGGAUUUGUUAAUUCGAACUACGUUCGGAGAUAUUAUUUCUAAAAUUGUAAACGCAAAAGCGUUUUGAUUUGUCACGUUUGGUGACAAGCGUUAUGGGAUUGACAUAGGGAGAUACAGAGGUUGUAAUUAUCCUGUGUGUUCAAGCAUUUGUUCGAUUUGUGUUUGUAUUUCGAAAAUUCGGAUAUUGUAUCUGUUGAUAUUAAAUCGAAUGGUUUUUGGCGGACUUAGUAAAAAUGUUAUUCAUUGAUAUCGGGUUAGAAUUGAAUGAAAUUGCGACUAUCUACGUGGACAAUGUGUGGUUAAAUGUGUCACAGGCGUGAUGAAGGCGUCUUUGGCCUGAGAAGUGAAAGAGUUUUGUGGCGUAGCUCUGUGACACGAAGCGAAAAAAUUGUAAAUGAAAAGGUGUCACGUGAAGUCUUUGUUUUGUACAAAAUCUAACCUGUUUCACUAAGAAUAACAAAUUUACUAAAGUCAUGGGUGCUGGUUGUACGAACAUAUAGCGAGAAUUUUUAUAUUGUUAGUGGAUAUGGCACGUUUAAUGUGAAAAAAAAAAAGAUUGUGUGUGUUUAGUAGGGCGACGUAAUGGAGCUUGUGUGGCUCGAAAUUGGACUUGGGUGUGAAGUCGCGCAUUGAAAAUUGUUGCCAAUUGAAAAAAAGUGAUGUGAUAGGGUGUUGUUUAUUUUGUUGAGAGCGGUUUGUCGAUAUUUAAAUAUGCAUGUAAAAGGAAGGAGUGUAGUUAUGUGGGAAUUUAACGAUUGGAAUAGUUUUGGGAAGCUGUGACUUAGGUUAUUUCUGUCCAAAGCUAUGAAAGAAAAGGACAUAGGGGCGUUGAAAAUGGGAUUAAGAAUAUUACAAUAAGACCGAAUAAGAGCGUUGGAGUUCACCACGUGUGAGCAACUCGUUCCAGGGGGGGAAAAUUUAGUAAAUGGGACAGUUGUAUUAACCUGUCCAUGGGACACGUGUUGCUUGCACGAGGUGAAUUGGUACAAGGUAGUUGGUAGAGGUACAUUAUCUUCAUACAGGAGUAGCUGAGGACAGUUUAUAAUUAGUAGAAAUCGUUUUAUGGAAUUAAGGAAUAAAAUGCCAAAAGGAAAAGGUGUAUCGAUGAUAUGGAAUUUUAGAUUCCGCGUUAUGUUACUUAUUUUUAAAAUCAAAAAGAUAUAAUCUAUGAUGAAAAUAUUGUUAGCUAUGGCAUUAAUAGUUAAGUUAAAUGGGUGGACAGGUAUUUUUCUUUUACAAACUGAUUUCUUAUUUUUUAAAAGUAUUCUGCCUAAUUAUAUCGAUAGAUGCUCCUGUAUUAAAUAGUAGAGGUAGGUUUACAUUAUUGGACAGUUCAGCUCGAACGAACAAUUGUUCAACAAAAAUUAUGUAUGGAGGAACCUACUAUGGUGCUGUCUUGUAUGUCGGGACAGUCCUGGUCUUGUGCCGUGGUUGGAGGUUCCUUGGGACAGUCAGAGUUCAUUGUUUGCGCUGGGCUCGUGGUUUAGAGAUGGUCGGGGGAGCAGGUAACCUACGCUCGCGUGUUGGUAACUCGGAGGGGCGCUUGCAGGAGGUUUGCUGGCUUUCUCAGUCUUGUAGAGUAUUGUAGUUGGGCCCGAUCUGCUUGGGCGUCGUAGUUGGUGAAGCAGCUCGGCGCCUCGUACGAACCAUCGUAGCGCGGUAGCUUCACAUCUCGCGAUAGUCCUGUCGCCGAGGAGAGCUGAUAUAUCGUCCUGGCUAAACUCCCCAGGACAUCUGACACCGGCGGCGGGGGCGUGACGUCUUCCUGGCCGGGGGCGAUUUCCUCCGUUCUACCGAGAGUGUUUUCUUUCUUUGGAAAAGUGGUGUUUUCGCCACUUUCGGAGUCGGGAUCGGACUCCAUUGGUUCCUUUGGAUUCUCCUCUCUUCCCUGUUCCAUCUUUCUGUACAGACAGUGGUCUACUUGCUUACUUGUACCUUGGCGUCCACAAUCCUGUCGACUCUUCGGACGGGGGAGUCUGUGAUAUCUUGGGACCUCUGGGACCAGUGUUACCUGAUGCUAGACGAACCUCGAUGUCAACUCUACCGUGCAGUCGUGGUGGAAGGCGACACAGCUGGGCCAAAGGUGAAAUAAACAAACAGAGAUUCCACUAAAAAGCGUCUGACGUCAAGAAGGAAUGGGAUGAGCGGAGAGGGAGAUCUUUAGAGCAAGUGUUACCUUGGUGAGAUCCAAGCGCAUACUGCCUAACCUAGGUUCUCGAUUUAACACCAAGACCUUUCUUCUUUCUGAUUGGUUGACCUAUUUAGGUGAUUCUUUCCUAAUUGGUGGGACUAUGUCACGUGGCCGUUGGCUAUUGGUUGACCUACUUAGGUGAUUCUCUUCUAAUUGGUCUUUGCUGCUGCCUUUGACGGAAGAUAUAUCCGGCCUGGUCAGGAAGUAUUGGGUGUCUCUCAACUUUUAUAACUUCUGCGUUCACCAGAUACGUCCGGUCCUGUCAGGAAAUAUUGGCUUAAACUUAGCUCGCAGGGUUUCCGGGGUCAGAAGGUUAACUGUGACUUUAUUAAUAACUAUGUUCUCUUCUAGAUCUACUUCCUAGGUCUUACUUCUACUCUCUCCUAAGCCUGAUUAGUUUUAACCUUAAUUUUCUCCUGUUAGUCUCCAUUCCUUCUAUCUGUACAGUUGUUAUACUUUAUUAGAUUCUUACGCGGUACAGAUUGAUGUUAGUUGAGGCUUUCUAUGUGCAGUACAUAAGAAGUUAUAUACAGUCAUGGGGUGGAACAUGUGGUAGUAGAUAUCUAGACUAUUUACAACAAUUCCAUGGUCUUAAAUCAUCACAUAUAUAUAUAUUACUAUUAUUUAUUUUGUAGUUAAACAUUGUAAAAUUACUUUACUUUCUUGCAUAUUGCUUCUCUGCUUAGCAUUUAGCUAAGUUCUUGCAAUAUUUCUCUCUCUUGUUUAUUAACAUAUAUAUAUAUAUAUAUAUAUCAAUAUAUAUAUAUAUAUUACUCUUAUCUAUUUUGUAGUUAAACACUACAAAAUUACUUUAUUCUCUUGCAUAUUGCUUUUCUGCCCAGCAUUUAGCUAAGUUCUUGCAAUAUUCCUAUUCGCUGGUAUAUAUAUAUAUUAUUUGUUCACGUUUCGAUAUUUGUACAUAUACUCGAGCGCUGUUCAAAAAAUUUUUAUUUUUCGCAAAUUUGUGGCAUUUGAAUCCAAUUUUUCUAGCUUGAAAUUCUGGAGGCCCUUUACACUUCAAUUUUAUUUUACUGGAAGCCUUACAAUCUGCAAAUUCCUUUAGAAUUUUGAACCUCAAGUGUAAAACUCUAAUUUCAAAACACCUGAAAGUUGAACAAGGCCUUGAGCAAGCGAUUUCUAUACACUAUUUAAUUGAAACUCUUUUGAAACUCUCCCUACUUCGAGUAGAAGCUAACUUGUUCGAAAAACGACCGCUCUCAAAGUGGUGCAAUGUUUUCGCAAACUAAUUACUUCUCCAUGAUUGCCAACCCCACCUCAUGCCCUUAUGCAUCUACACCAUAUUAUGGCCCUACUACGGACCCAAUCUCCAGCCUGAUUGCUUCCAUCCGAGAGCCAUCCAGGGGUACUGUCGUUUAUGGGACCAAAGUCGCAACACCAUCCCAUACAUCGUCUUUGGACAAUAUUCUCUCGGGCCUCCCCGAGUUUGCCCAUCUGAACCCGAAUUUUGCGAGGUCUUCAAAACCGCUGAAUCAUUACGAUUCACCUUGCGAAUAUCCUCCAGUCAUGCCACCAAAGCAUCCAGCAGACACCUUCACCUCAGAACUUCCAGAUUUGCCCCUAGAUGAAGACGACUAUCUGGAGUUGGAAGAGGAGGACAACGCGCCACCAUCUUCACCUGAUUCUGAAAUCCAGGCCCCUCAAGAACCAAGCCCCAAGCUGGAAAGAGAGACACCUCUCCCAGAGGCACAAGAUGCCACCUCAGGAACGACCACCAGGGACCCUGCCCCUACUGACUCCCUGGAGAACGGGAGCAAGGCACCAGCUGCACCCAUAAGUACAUUGGGUGUCCUCACUCAUGAUCCUGGCGGCCCCUCUUCAGGGACCAUUUACCCAGAGGACCAGCAAGCACGAAAUGAAGCCCCACUCUGCUGGAACCAGUUUCAAGACCCUGCCUCCCCGCCGCCCCCCCCCCCCCCCCAGUAGGAAAGAAUGAGGCACCAGCUACCCCUAGAGCUAUAUCAGAUGUCCUCACUCAUGAUCCCGGCGGCCCCUCUUCAUGGACCAUUAACCCAGUGGACCAGCAAGCACAAAAUGGAGUCCCAUCCUACAGGAACCAUGUAUUGAUUCAAGAUCCUGCUUCCCCACCAGGCCCCCCAAUAGAAAAGAAUGAGGCACCAGCUACACCUAGAACUAUACCAGGUGUCCUCAUUCAUGAUCCCGGGGGCCCCCCUUUGAGGACCUAUAUUUAUGAGAACCAGAAGAUAUUAGAUGGAACUCCACCCCAAGGAUCCCGGUCUCGGGGCCCCCCUGCCCCGACCGACCCCCUAGGAGACAAGAGCGAGGCACCAGCUCCGGCUAGAAGUGAACCAGGACGCCUCGUUCAUGAUCCCGGGGGCUCUUCUCCAAGUACCUGCAGACCUAUUGACCAAACAGGUCUAGGAGGAUCGCCACCCUACCGGAACCGAACCCAAGACUGCCCUGCCCCUGAGGACCACCACUGUAAAUACUUUUGGACCCAGGAAAGGAGACGGACCAGAGACCGGAAGGAGCAACGGAGAGAAGCCGCAGUCCCCAGGCACCGAAAGUGGAGGACCCCGCCCUGGCCCUUUUUGAGAAAGUGGACCCUCCCCCCUUGGCCAGGAACCCUGUACCUCAAAGCCUAGACUGCUUGACCAUUUUACUAUACCAAACUAGCACUGGCAAGCAUUUUCUAGCUUCUCUUCGACAAUCUCUUGUAAUUUUUUAAGAUGCUUUCAAUAAAGUUUUUUAAUUCUGUUCUUAUCAGCUUAAUUAAUAAUUAAUGGCAUAGCAUUUAAGGUCUGUGAUGGACAAAUUGUAGAUGCCAAUGGACAUUCAUUGUAGCAAGCAGAUAGGAAACAAUCACUUGUAAAUAGUCAACCCAACGAUACCUUUUCACUGACCUGCUGGCAGAGACUACCAAUAGAUCAUCCAAUCUUGCCGCCAAAUAGGAAAACCCGAAAUACAUGCUCAGCUAAUCAUCGCCACUCAAAUUACCCUACAAAUAAACCUGUAAAAGCAAAAGGUAAUCCCCUAAGGAUCAUAUACUGGAACAUAAAUGGAUUUUUUAGAAUUUCUUCGGUCUUCUCUCUCUUCGAUUACUUGAAAUUGUUUGAUAUUUUUGCUGUAACUGAAACCUGGUGCCACUAUUUACUUGACCUAGCUGUAGAAGAUUUUGAGUUUUACCAAUCACCAGCUGUUAAACCUUCGAAUCAAGGGAGAAGCUCUGGAGGAAUCCUUGUAGGAAUUAGAAAAGAAAUCCAAGGCUUAAUCUACAAAGUUGAAAUUGAGCCUAAAUGGAUCUCGGUUAUAUUUAAACUGGCUUCAAUAGCGGACUCACCCCUAGUGUGUGCAAUUUUUGUUUACUUACCCCCAAGCGAACUACAGCUAGAAAAUCUAAAAAAAUUGUUUUGCUAUGUUGAAAAUAAAAUGCAACAUGGAUUCGAAAUAGUUUUAGGCGGUGAUUCAAAUAUUCGCAUUGGCUACUUGGGUGCUUUCCACAACUUGUUCCAGAUCCCAGCUAUGCUUUCCGUCUAUACCGUACCUCCAGAGAUCCAACCGUGUCCCCCCUGGCUGAGACUCUUGUCGAUUUCCUUGAUGAUAACUCCCUCACUAUACUAAACGGAAGAUCUAUUAGUGAUAAAAACGGAUGCUAUACUUUUAUCUCACAUCAGGGGUCUUCAGUUUUGGACUUAUUCAUGGUUUCUCCUGCACUACUGGAACUUGUUCUUGACCUAAGUAUAGAAAGUUUGCCUUACUCCGAUCAUUUGCCACUUCUUCUAAAACUAAACGGAUCAGACAAUACAAAAGCGAAAAGCCUACCUCUAGAGCAUACUCCUGUAAAAAAAUUUACCUGGUCAAUAAAUAAAGCUUCGACAUAUGAACUUUGUCUCGAAGACCUAAAUGCUCUCCAACUACCGGAAGACGCCUCAAUGGACCUAUGUGCUGACACUCUUACUAGCAGGAUUCAAACAUCAAUGAUGAGAGCAGGAAUGCUAACAAAGGGAAGAGCGGAUAGUUCGCGGUCUAAGCUAUGGUUUGACGGAGAAUGUUAUACAGC